UACGUAGGUGGCGAGCGUUGUCCGGAUUUACUGGGCGUAAAGAGCGCGCAGGCGGUCGGAUCAGUCGAAUGUGAAAGCCCCCGGCUUAACUGGGGAGGGUCAUUCGAUACUGUUCGACUCGAAGGCAGGAGAGGGAAGUGGAAUUCCUGGUGUAGCGGUGAAAUGCGCAGAUAUCAGGAGGAACACCGGUGGCGAAGGCGGGUCUCUGGGCCGAUACUGACGCUGAGGAGCGAAAGCGUGGGGAGCAAACAGG
rnacentral:rRNA from 1 species